rnacentral:lncRNA from 1 species
AUACAUAUAUAUAUGUAUGUAUAUGUGUGUGUAUACAUAUACAUAUACAUCAUGAAAAGGAUCAGGCCAGCCUCCCAACCAUAUACUUCACUUUGAAUCUGCUCCCUGUGGUGGUUCAAGAUGUCAGGGUUCUUUUCUAUUGCUCCUUGACUUCCCAAGCCCCUUACCAGCCUUUAGAGUCCUUGCUCCAGGCUCAGCAUCCCUGUUGGGAACCCUGCCAGCAGGCCACUCAGAGGACAACCAUCUUGUUCCCCUUGACAUUUCCUAUCUGCCUUGUGCUAUAUCAUCCCACCACAGACUCCUGGCCCACAGGAGUGGGGGAUCGCUACAUCCCAUCCCAUCCCUACCUCCUAACCCAGCAGAGCCUUUCCCACGAACCCUAACCCGCAGCAGGCUGCUCAGGCCUGGUUCCACAUGGAUUCUCUUACCUGCAGGAGUGUCCUUCAGCACUCGCUGGAUGGUUCUCCCAUCCCCCACACUCCUCCUCCUUCCCUGGUCCCAUAGCUGCGACACCCUAGCAGUGUAGUCUAGUCCCAAGGACAGAUUUCAGGGAGCCGGCUCUUUAAAGUCCCUCCUUCCUCCUGUGGUGCUUCCACAAGGCUGCGGGCUGCUAGGGUUUGUGUUUAGCAGACUUUGUGACAUCCUGGGUUUGGUCCCUCGGUUUCCCCCCAAAACCAAACCCCAAGUGGGUAAAGCAAGAAAAAAACUUUUCUUAUGUUUCAUACAUACUGGUGUUGAUAACGAUUUUGUUGAGUUUUUAAUGUUUGCCACACAGUGAAAUGAUAAAUAUUUCAGGCAACGAUUAGAUUACGUCCAAAUGUAAUUAGACAUUGUAUACAUAUAUUAAGAUGCUAUGUUGAGCUUCAUGCAUUUUCAAUUAAAAUUAUUAUUCUAAAAAGAAAAUCACACUGGGUGUGAGCCCAGAAGUAAAACAUUUUCCCAGCAUGCAAAGGCCCUGUGUUUACACCUAUAUAGGUAGCAUUAUUUAUUUGUAUAUAACAAUACGUAGUAAACAUUUUAAAACUGAUAAGGUAAAGGUAAAGGAUUUACAUGACUUGAAGAGAAAACGGAGUAUUAAACGUUUAAAUGUUAACAAAGGGCUGGGCACAUAGGCGGGAUGGCGAGUGUUUGUCUAGAUGCAUGUUCUGGGCUGAGCUCUACCCCAGUCCCUAUACAAACCAGGCGUCACGGUACAAGCUUGCAGGGCUAUCCCUUGGGAGGAUCAAAGUUGUUCUCAGCCACAUACAUAGUAAUUUCAAAGCCACCCUGGGUUCCAUGAGACCAUGGGUUUAGAGAAAUAACAGCAACAGAAACAGGAAGGUCCCUCAAACCUAAUACCCUGAAGAGGAGUCAGGCUGUCCCUGAAGCCGAGCACAGCGUAAGGACAGCAGAGGCAACGGCCUGGCAGGACCUCGUAGGUUCACCACUCCACUUUCAAUUCCCUCAGAGCAUCUGGAAACUGGGGCCAGGGGGCCGGGGGUGGGGAGGAAUUGAACCCCUGGCCUUCAGGAUGCUUUACCACCACCACCCCCAAGUGGCAUUGGAAAACUGUUCCCUUUUGCCUGACCAAAGGCCUAAUGAUGCUGUCCAACAGAGGAGACCUCUCCAGAGAGACGCUGCCGUUUACCCAGCGUCCCAGUCAAUCCACCCAGCCUUAAUACCCCUAAAGCCCGGGGCAAGCGCAAAGUUUGAUGAGGAUUAAAUAAAAGCAGCUUGCCUCCCACUGCACUGCCAGAUGGGGCUCUGAUUCUGCUCCAAGACCAAGGUCGGCUCAAGAAUGAGUCUGGGGCCAUCUCUGCCCCCAGGGCUGUGAGCGCCAGCAGUCAGUUCUGUAGGCACUCCACCUUAGAGAUUGUGGGUUAGACCCUGGAGUCUCAGGGCCACUUCAUGCAGCUUACUGUGGGAUAGGCUUCUUCUUUCCUCCUGCCACAAGAUAGGCAAACUCUCGGCCUGGUUUGAGCACCCAAGUUGGAGGCUCGGCCACCGGUAACUCUAGCUCUGGGUCACCUGAAGCCCCCACCACCACCACCUCAGCAGCACUCACACACUCGCACAUCCUCUCACAUAGACACAACACAGAAACGUCACUUUUUAAAAUGGGGGUGGUGAGACCCAUCCCAUGGGUGGGCACCGAUCCCUGACACUAUUAAUGAUACUAAGUUCUGCUUGCAGACAGGAACCUAGCAUGGCUGUCCUCUGAAAGGCUCCACCCAGUAGCUGACUCAGAUAGAUGCAGACACCCACAGCCAGACAGUGGAUGGAGCUUGGGGACUCUUAUGGAAGAAUAGAGGGAAGAAUUGCAGCCUGCAAGGGGAUAGGAACUCCACAGGAAGACCAACAGUGUCAACUAACCUGGACCCUUGGGGCUCUUAGAGUCUGAGCCACCAAACCAAGAAGCAUAAACAGGCUGGACCUAGGCCUCCCCACAUAGGUAAUAGAAGUACAGUUUGGUCUUCAUGUGGGUCCUGAACAAUGGGAGCAGAGCUAUCCCAAAAGCUGUUGCCUGUCUGUGGGAUAUGUUCUUCUAGCUGGGUUGCCUUCUCUGGCCUCACUGAGAGAGGAUGUGCCUAGCCCCAAAGAAACUUGAUGUGUCAUGGUGGGGGGAUACCCAGGAGGGGGGCAGUAAAUUGUAUUAGGUAUUUCUGGGUGGUGGUGGUGGUAGUGGUACACACUUUUAAUCCUAGCAUUCGGGAGGCAGUGGCAGGCAGACCUCUUUGAAUUCAAGGCCAGCCCGUUCUUCAUUGUGAGUUCCAGGGCUACAGGGAGAAACCUUGUAUUGAAAAAGCGAAUACAAAACAAACAAAAAGAAUGUAGGAGUGAUGCGUUUUUGUGGAAAGACAUAGAUUUAUGAAGAUGCUGUAUCCUUUAUGAGGAGCUGAGGUAUCUUUGAGGCUUGGCAUUUAAGGAUAGCUGCAAUUUGAUAGCGUAUGGAUCAUGUGAUCCUCUAGUGUGUUGUUUGACUGAGUCUUGUUUUAAAUCUAGUCCUCACAAAAUGCCAAGACCCCUAAAACCUUAUUUUCCACCCCUGAGAGGCCCAGUGUGGAACACACAUAGUAGGGAUAUAAUAAACAUUUACCAACCCACCGAAGGAUUGUCUAGACCAGAUUGACCUGUGAGUGGGUCGGUGGUGGGUUAUUGUACGGUCUUAACUCAUACAGAAAGACCCAGGCUGAAAGUGGGCAGCGCCAUGUCCCGGUGUGGGGCCCUGGAGCAUGCAGAAUAGGGAAGGCUAGCUGAGCACGAAGCGCGCAUGCGUUCCCUCUGUCCCUGCCCGCGCAUGUGAUGUGAGGAGCUGCCUCGGGCUCCUGAUACCCUGACUUCUCCGCAGUAGCGGGUUAUAAAUUGCAGAGAUGGACUGUAAAUUGGAAUUAUGAGCUAAAAUAAACCCCUCUCUCCCCGAAGUUGCUUAUCAUCAGGAUAUUUUAUACCAGUGACAGGAGUAAGGCGAAGACAGGAGCGGAGAGGCAGCAGUAAAGCAGCAUUAUGCUUUAGCGUCCCUCCUCACUGCCCUUUCUCGGUAUGUCUUAAUUAAUCACAUCCCAGAUGCUGAACAGUGGCUUGGCUGGGCCUCUGUGUCCUUUCAAUUGUAUCUAAAGCAUAAAGUGAAAUGUCCGGUAGGUCUUUCUCAAAAUCCCUACCAAUCCGCCAUCUCUGUACUGCCUCCGCUCAUAGCCUCAACAUACGACAGGAAAUUACAAACAAACAAAAAGCAGGUGGGAAUGAUUUAUUUCGUGGAAAGAUGUAGGUUUAGGUAGAUACUGUGUGCCGUUUAUGUGAGGAGCCGAAAUAUCUUCUUUUGAGGUUUGGUAUCAAAGAAUAGCUGACCCCCUUUUUUUUCUACCUACACCUCAAUUUUAAACAUAAUACAAUUUAUUUUUUAGAAUACUUUUAUGUUUACAGAGAGAUUGCAUGACAGUACAAAGACUUCUCAUCUAUGCUUAGGAAAGUUUCUCCUUUGGGGAGUAGAGAUUAAUCUCACUGUUUCUCAUGCAUGCUAACAUUAAGGUACACCCUACACACACACACACACACACACACACACACACACACACACACACAGAGCCUCUGAGUUUGGACCUUAAACCAUAGAAGUUGCUAAUACCAAGAAUGGAACCCAUGCAUCUGGAUUUCUGCACUGCUUCCAUUAGGCUGCAAACCCCAUGCC